AAGGACACGAUACUAAUGAGCCAUUAUGAUGACAAGUUGUCGCCCCAAACGGAUUUCGAAAUUAUGAACGAUUCGACACAUUAGCCAAACACAAUUAUAUCUGAUCAAUGGCUUUAGUACAA